rnacentral:rRNA from 2 species
GCAGUCGACGACUCUGGUAUUGAUUGGUGCUUGCAUCAUGAUUUACAUUUGAGUGAGUGGCGAACUGGUGAGUAACACGUGGGAAACCUGCCCAGAAGCGGGGGAUAACACCUGGAAACAGAUGCUAAUACCGCAUAACAACUUGGACCGCAUGGUCCGAGUUUGAAAGAUGGCUUCGGCUAUCACUUUUGGAUGGUCCCGCGGCGUAUUAGCUAGAUGGUGGGGUAACGGCUCACCAUGGCAAUGAUACGUAGCCGACCUGAGAGGGUAAUCGGCCACAUUGGGACUGAGACACGGCCCAAACUCCUACGGGAGGCAGCAGUAGGGAAUCUUCCACAAUGGACGAAAGUCUGAUGGAGCAACGCCGCGUGAGUGAAGAAGGGUUUCGGCUCGUAAAACUCUGUUGUUAAAGAAGAACAUAUCUGAGAGUAACUGUUCAGGUAUUGACGGUAUUUAACCAGAAAGCCACGGCUAACUACGUGCCAGCAGCCGCGGUAAUACGUAGGUGGCAAGCGUUGUCCGGAUUUAUUGGGCGUAAAGCGAGCGCAGGCGGUUUUUUAAGUCUGAUGUGAAAGCCUUCGGCUCAACCGAAGAAGUGCAUCGGAAACUGGGAAACUUGAGUGCAGAAGAGGACAGUGGAACUCCAUGUGUAGCGGUGAAAUGCGUAGAUAUAUGGAAGAACACCAGUGGCGAAAGGCGGCUGUCUGGUCUGUAACUGACGCUGAGGCUCGAAAGUAUGGGUAGCAAACAGGAUUAGAUACCCUGGUAGUCCAUACCGUAACGAUGAAUGCUAAGUGUUGGAGGGUUUCCGCCCUUCAGUGCUGCAGCUAACGCAUAAGCAUCCGCUGG